GACCUGAUGGUGUAAUGGUAACCAUACCUGCUUCAAGUGGUGUGCUGGAAAUUUUCUUUAUGUAGAAGCUCCCGUUCGAUUCGGGGUUAGGUCA